CUACGGGUUGCACCAGUGGGGAAUCUUGCACAAUGGAGGAAACUCUGAUGCAGCGAUGCCGCGUGAGUGAAGAAGGCCCUUGGGUUGUAAAGCUCUUUUGUCGGGAAAGAUAAUGACUGUACCCGAAGAAUAAGGUCCGGCUAACUUCGUGCCAGCAGCCGCGGUAAUACGAAGGGACCUAGCGUAAUUCGGAAUUACUGGGCGUAAAGCGCGCGUAGGCGGUUAAGUAAGUUAAUUGUGAAAGCCCAAAGCUCAACUUUGGAAUUGCAAUUAAAACUACUUAGCUAGAGUUUAUCAGAGGAAAGCGGAAUACAUAGUGUAGAGGUGAAAUUCGUAGAUAUUAUGUAGAACACCAGUUGCGAAGGCGGCUUUCUGGGAUAACACUGACGCUGAGGUGCGAAAGUAUGGGUAGCGAAGAGGAUUAGAUACCCCAGUAGUC
rnacentral:rRNA from 1 species